rnacentral:rRNA from 1 species
GACGAACGCUGGCGGCGUGCUUAACACAUGCAAGUCGAACGGAAAGGCCCUGCUUGCAGAGUACUCGAGUGGCGAACGGGUGAGUAACACGUGGGUGAUCUGCCCUGCACUUCGGGAUAAGCUUGGGAAACUGGGUCUAAUACCGGAUAGGACCGCACUUUAGUGUGUGUGGUGGAAAGUUUUUUCGGUGUAGGAUGAGCUCGCGGCCUAUCAGCUUGUUGGUGGGGUAAUGGCCUACCAAGGCGGCGACGGGUAGCCGGCCUGAGAGGGUGUACGGCCACAUUGGGACUGAGAUACGGCCCAGACUCCUACGGGAGGCAGCAGUGGGGAAUAUUGCACAAUGGGCGCAAGCCUGAUGCAGCGACGCCGCGUGGGGGAUGAAGGCCUUCGGGUUGUAAACUCCUUUCGCUAGGGACGAAGCUUUUUGUGACGGUACCUAGAUAAGAAGCACCGGCUAACUACGUG